GUGAUCUGGCCCCACAACAUCUUGUCACUCCACUGAUUGCUGGAAUUGAUUUGCUUGAUCUGGCUAGCCAGGCGGGUGUUGCCUUCCUC
rnacentral:sRNA from 1 species